rnacentral:rRNA from 1 species
CUCCUACGGGAGGCAGCAGUGGGGAAUAUUGGACAAUGGGCGAAAGCCUGAUCCAGCCAUGCCGCGUGUGUGAAGAAGGUCUUCGGAUUGUAAAGCACUUUAAGUUGGGAGGAAGGGCAGUUACCUAAUACGUGAUUGUUUUGACGUUACCGACAGAAUAAGCACCGGCUAACUCUGUGCCAGCAGCCGCGGUAA